AGAUGGAGUUGCUCUGUUGCCCAGGCUGGAGUGCAGUGGCAUGAUCUCGGCCCACUGCAACCCCUGCCUCCUGGGUUCAAGGGAUUCUCCUGUCUCAGCCUCCCAAGUAGCUGGAACUACAGGUGUGUGCCACCACGCCCAGCUAAUCUUUUUUGUAUUUUUGACAGAGACAGGGUUUCACUGUGUUAGCCAGGAUGGUCUUGAUCUCCUGACCUCGUGAUCCACCCGCCUCGACCUCCCAAAGUGCUGGGAUUACAGGCGUGAGCCACCACACCUGGCCUGCUCUUUCCUUUUGUCCAGUCUCUCAGAGAGGCUGCCUGGAUCACAGUGCUACCACCCCAAUCUGGGUCUCU
ensembl:lncRNA novel transcript